rnacentral:tRNA from 1 species
GGGGAUUUAGCUCAGUAGCAUAAGCACCUGCCUUGCAAGCAGGAGGUCAUGAGUUCAAUCCCCA